GGGCCUGUAGCUCAAUCGGUUAGAGCAGAGGACUCAUAAUCCUUUGGUUCCGGGUUCGAGUCCCGGCGGGCCCACCA
rnacentral:tRNA from 1 species